rnacentral:rRNA from 1 species
CGACUACAUUAGAUACCCGUGUAGUCCUAGCCGUAAACGAUACUCGCUAGGUGUCGGCCACGGUGCGACCGUUGUCGGUGCCGUAGGGAAGCCGUGAAGCGAGCCACCUGGGAAGUACGGCCGCAAGGCUAGAAACUUAAAGGAAUUGGCGGGGAGCACCACAACGGGUGGAGCCUGCGGUUUAAUUGGACUCAACGCCGGGAAGCUCACCGGAUAAGACAGCGGAAUGAUUGCCGGGCUGAAGACCCUGCAUGACCAGCUG